UAAAUAUACUAAAAUUAUUUUUAAACUGCUUUUAAUAUUUCCAAACAGUGUGUCUAUUUACGCUUUUGUUUUUUAAAAAAAGCAUAUGUCUAGAUUUUCCGUUAUAAUAUUUCCAACCAAGGGGAUUAUUCUUUUGAAAGUUUCUAACCAUAACAUUUCCUAUUCGUGGACAUGAAUGGACAAUUUCGAGCAGAGAAUCCAGAAGACUGGUUUCGUUAUAUUGAAAAUGCUCGAGUGAAACCUGCAUCGUUUAAAGUUGAGAAAGCUGUCAGAUUUUUAAUUAGAAACUGGAACGAAUGUUUUCCAGUAAUGUAUUUAAAAAAAAAGUCCGCCCAAAACAAGAACAAUUAAGGAGUUAAAGAUGGACAAAAAUCAUCCCUGAGUCGAGCAGUUUAAUGCGCAGUAUUUAGAAGCGGCUGAGGAGGUGAGAGAGUUGGCCGGGGGCAAAAGUAAAUUAAAAGUGUUCCACAUAAAUGGUCGAAGUAUAAUGAAAAAUUUUGAUGAACUAAAUGUGCUUAUUGAAUCAAUUGACUCUUUCAAAACUUUCUCUCAAACUUUUCUUUUGGAUGUACAUGAGCAGAAGAAGAAAAUAUAGUUGUUCAUUCAAAAACAGUCCGCAGAGUCCUUCAUAGAGUUAGAUACACGUCAACAGUUGCUAGGACUAAGCCUUUUAUAAAUCAAAUAAAUAAGAAGAAGCGUGUUGAUUUUGCAACUGGACGCUUUCAUUAUGAUAACUAAUUUUGGGAUAAACUAAUAUUUUUAGAGGACAGCAAAUUUUACAUUCAGAU